GAUGAACGCUGGCGGCGUGCCUAAUACAUGCAAGACGAGCGAAUGGAUUAAGAGCUUGCUCUUAUGAAGUUAGCGGCGGACGGGUGAGUAACACGUGGGUAACCUGCCCAUAAGACUGGGAUAACUCCGGGAAACCGGGGCUAAUACCGGAUAACAUUUUGAACCGCAUGGUUCGAAAUUGAAAGGCGGCUUCGGCUGCCACUUAUGGAUGGACCCGCGUCGCAUUAGCUAGUUGGUGAGGUAACGGCUCACCAAGGCAACGAUGCGUAGCCGACCUGAGAGGGUGAUCGGCCACACUGGGACUGAGACACGGCCCAGACUCCUACGGGAGGCAGCAGUAGGGAAUCUUCCGCAAUGGACGAAAGUCUGACGGAGCAACGCCGCGUGAGUGAUGAAGGCUUUCGGGUCGUAAAACUCUGUUGUUAGGGAAGAACAAGUGCUAGUUGAAUAAGCUGGCACCUUGACGGUACCUAACCAGAAAGCCACGGCUAACUACGUGCCAGCAGCCGCAGUAA
rnacentral:rRNA from 1 species